rnacentral:lncRNA from 1 species
UGAAUCAACACAAGGGUACAUAAUCCUUAACAGCAAAUAUUUAUGAAAUUUCAGAAACUUAAGAUUAUAUACAUGUACAUUUUGUAUAAGAAAGCUCUCAAAUUAUGAAAAAAACCAGAAUACAAUGUAUAACAGGGUUUCAGCUAGGAUUUUUAGGGCUUUAGUCACUGUUGCACAAGAUGAAAAUCAACUUUAUUUGAGGUAACAGCAAGGGACCAAGAUUUGAUUUGAAAUACUUUUGUCAUUUUGAAAACAGUUUCGUAAAUGACAAGCACUAGCAAAAUCACUGUGUAUAA